rnacentral:rRNA from 1 species
GAUUUCUGGCUUGAAACAUUUAGCCGGCCACGGUUUCGUGUGUUAGUGUUAGAUGUUCUGGCCAUCCUUUCAAUUACUCUUGGCUCAUCUUCAUUGAUUGGUCUAGAGUAUUGAAUCUUUUACUUUGAAAAAAUUAGAGUGUUUCAAGCAGGCUUUAUGCUAUGAAUACAUUAGCAUGGAAUAAUAAUUUAGGACUUCGGUUCUAUUUUGUUGGUUUCUAGGACUGAAGUAAUGAUUGAUAGGGAUAGUUGGGGGUGCUAGUAUUCAGCGGCCAGAGGUGAAAUUCUCGGAUUCGCUGAAGACUAACUUAUGCGAAAGCAUU